rnacentral:lncRNA from 1 species
CUAAAAAGAAAAAAAAUUGUUAUUUAAUUUAGGAAAAACUUCAAAUACCCCUCCUGUGGUUUUGCACUUUCUCACUUUAUUAUCAUGUGAUUUAAAGUGUAUCAAGUUAGUACCCUAUAGUUUCACACUUUCUUACUUUAGUACGCUGUGGUUUAAAGUAUAUUAAGUUAGUACCUUGUGGUUUCACACUUUCUCACUUUAGUAUUCUGUGGUUUAAAGUGUAUCAAGUUAGUACCCUAUAGUUUCACACUUUCUUACUUUAGUACGCUGUGGUUUAAAGUAUAUUAAGUUAGUACCUUGUGGUUUCACACUUUCUCACUUUAGUAUUCUGUGGUUUAAAGUGUAUCAAGUUAGUACCCUAUAGUUUCACACUUUCUUACUUUAGUACGCUGUGGUUUAAAGUAUAUUAAGUUAGUACCUUGUGAUUUCGCACUUUUUCAUUUUAGUACUAUGUGGUUUAAUAUUUUAUUAAAUUAUAUACAAAAAAACUUCAGAUAUCCUAUCUAGGUUUACCGAAUAUUCAUUUUAGAACCCUUUAGUUUUAACUUUGUCACUGAUUUAACGAAGAAAUUACCUCGAAAUGAAUAAUAAAAAAAGAAAAAUGAAACCAUGGCCAAAGUAAUAAUUUGAUAUAAAAAUAAAACCACAGAGUACUAAAGUGAAAAAGUACGAAACUACAGAAUACUAACUUGAUACAUUUUAAACCACACGGUACUAAAGUAAAAAUGUACGAAACCACGUGAGAGUUUUGAAGUUUUCCCUUUAAUUUAAC